CCGGGGCUGCUGAGUCAGGAGAGGCACAGCCAGGAGGGAGCAGCGGCCUCAGCCCCCCCUUACUUCUCCCCGACUCUCCCCUAACAGGCGCUCUGGCCCUAUCCUGGCUCCACGGGGAGCUGGCUCUGGGACCGGAGGCUGUCCUUCCCGCUCAGGGCGCACGCCUCUCCCGUGUCAAAUGAAAGGGCUCGGCGCCAGGGCCUGUAGAUCCCUUCUGGCCCCUUCCGCCGCCCUCAGCUCCCCGGCCUGAGCCCGGGGCCCAGGGUCUGAGCCCAGGGUGGGGCCGGAAGGGGCUGCCGCUAGAAGAAGUUGACCACCCUGCGGACCGACUGGACGCGAGAGCUGUGGGCCUCCCAGUCCGAGUAGUUGCGGAAGUCACCCCGCUCCACCAGGUACAUGCGGCCGUGGUAGUUGGGCUCCUCGUACAGGACCCACCUGCGGCCAGAGGGAGGCCAGGCGGCCGUGAGCCGCUGAGCAGCACAGGGUCUGACCGCCUCCCGCCUGCCCGCCACCCCUCACCCCUCCCGGCCAAUGUGGGGGCCCGAGCUGAGGGGGAGAGGUAUGGGGCAGGGCCUGUGGGGCUGGUCUCUCCUCCUCCCUCCUGAUGCUCCCUCACCCUUGGCUCUUCCACCGCGGGAAGCAAAGCGGGGCUACACGCCCUGAUCCGGUCGCUGGGGUCCUUCCGGCCCAGGCCAUGGGGUGCCCUGACUCUGUCUUUGCAGCGAACCCCACUGUGGCCCUCGCCCCCCCAAAGCACUCGGCUGCUGAAGGAGCCUUCUCCUGGCUGAGACACAGACUCAGAGUUUCUGAGCCCAGCCCGCCCAGAGAAGGGAGUGACUGCCCAAGUCACACGCCACCCCCCUCCCCCCCCCCCCCCCCCACGGCCCGAGUCGCCUGCAGAGGGCAGCUUCCCCGGCCACCCCCUUCCUGCCCCAUCCCGACUCCACAUCUGGCUCCUGGCGCAGUCUGCACAAGGGUCAGGGGUCAGGAAUGAAGAGAGAGGCCCAGUACGUGAGCCGCUGGGGAGCUCAGGGCAGACCUGGCUCACCCUGGCCUCCCCACACCCCUAGCCUUCCUGCCCCUCCCCCCCUCCUCCCCCUCCUCAUGCCCGUGGGUGGCUCAGGCCCAAGGUUUCGGGGCGUAUAUGCAGGAGUCCCCAAAAGGAAGAAGAGGAAGGACAGGCUGGGCCUCUGCAGUAAAUGUCUCCCGGGCUUCCUGCUGUGACUUUGGGGACCAGGCAUGAAGAGGGAGGGAGGAGGGGGCAUGGCCCAUCCACAGCAGGGACUGUGCUCUUUGGGGGGUAGCAGGAAGUAGGGAGAGUGACCUGGCACAUUUCCCUCCAAAUGCCCCCCAGAACCUGUGUCUGUGGGGACAGGUCGAUCCUGAGCUGACUCGGGAACCAGCGGAACACCGCGGCUGGUGUCUGGGAGGUAGUAGGGAGACCUGCCUGGAGGCUCCCCAUCAGACCCCAGGAAAGGGCUUGACGGAGGUCACCACCCCCAGACCCGGUGGUCCAGGCCAUCACCCUGGCCAAGGGCUUACUUUUUUUUUUUUUUUAAAGGUAGUCACCGGAGCAAAGGGUGAACCCCCGUAGGGAGGAGAGCAGAGCCCUGGGUGAGAUGUGGGGCUGGCCAUACACAGCCGCUGAGUAAGCAGGAGCUCCGGGAGACCCCGGGCCCCUGCACUCAAAACUCUUAGCUCCCACCCUCCCCCGCCCCCUUUUCCUAAA